rnacentral:rRNA from 1 species
GAUGAACGCUGGCGGCGUGCCUAAUACAUGCAAGUCGAGCGAACAGAUGAGGAGCUUGCUCCUCUGACGUUAUCGGCGGACGGGUGAGUAACACGUGGUUAACCUACCUAUAAGACUGGGAUAACUUCGGGAAACCGGAGCUAAUACCGGAUAAUAUAUUGCACCGCAUUGUUCAAUAGUGAGAGACGGUUUUGCUGUCACUUAUAGAUGGAUCCGCGCCGCAUUAGCUAGUUGGUAAGGUAACGGCUUACCAAGGCAAAGAUGCGUAGCCGACCUGAGAGGGGAAUCGGACACGGUGGAACAGAGACACGGGCCAGACUGGGACGGGAGGCAGGAGUAGGGAAUUUUCCGCAAUGGGAGAAAGGCAGACGGAGCAACGCCGCGUGAGUGAUGAAGGUAAUCGGAGCGUAAAACUCUGUUAUUAGGGAAGAACAAAUGUGUAAGUAACUAUGCACGUCUAGACGGUACCUAAACAGAAAUCCACGGCUAACUACG